rnacentral:rRNA from 1 species
AGAGUUUGAUCAUGGCUCAGGAUGAACGCCGGCGGUGUGCCUAAUACAUGCAAGUCGAACGCGUUGGCCCAACUGAUUGAACGUGCUUGCACGGACUUGACGUUGGUUUACCAACGAGUGGCGGACGGGUGAGUAACACGUAGGUAACCUGCCCCAAAGCGGGGGAUAACAUUUGGAAACAGAUGCUAAUACCGCAUAACAGUUUGAAUCGCAUGAUUCAAACUUAAAAGAUGGUUUCGGCUAUCACUUUGGGAUGGACCUGCGGCGCAUUAGCUUGUUGGUAGGGUAACGGCCUACCAAGGCUGUGAUGCGUAGCCGAGUUGAGAGACUGAUCGGCCACAAUGGAACUGAGACACGGUCCAUACUCCUACGGGAGGCAGCAGUAGGGAAUCUUCCACAAUGGGCGCAAGCCUGAUGGAGCAACACCGCGUGAGUGAAGAAGGGUUUCGGCUCGUAAAGCUCUGUUGUUAGAGAAGAACGUGCGUGAGAGUAACUGUUCACGCAGUGACGGUAUCUAACCAGAAAGUCACGGCUAACUACGUGCCAGCAGCCGCGGUAAUACGUAGGUGGCAAGCGUUAUCCGGAUUUAUUG